rnacentral:rRNA from 1 species
AUUUUGACUGUGCAAAGGUAGCAUAAUCAUUAGUUUUUUAAUUAAAAGCUUGUAUGAAAGGCUGGACGAGGUAAAAUCUGUCUCUAUUUAAAUUAUUAUAGAAUUUAACUUUUAAGUUAAAAGGCUUAAAUAUUAUUAAAAGACGAGAAGACCCUAUAGAUCUUUAUAAUUUAUUAAAUUAAGUUAAUUUAGAAGUAUUUAUAUUUUAUUUAAUUAAAUUAUUUUAUUGGGGUAAUAGAAAGAUUGAAUUAAUUCUUUUUUUUGAUAAACAUUUAUUUAUGAAUAUAAAUGAUCCAGUUUUACUGAUUAUAAGAUUAAGUUACCUUAGGGAUAACAGCGUAAUUUUUUUAGAGAGUUCAUAUCGAUAAAAAAGUUUGCGACCUCGAUGUUGGAUUAAAGAUUAUUUUAGGUGCAGAAGC